rnacentral:rRNA from 1 species
UACGUAGGGUGCAAGCGUUAAUCGGAAUUACUGGGCGGAAAGCGUGCGCAGGCGGUUGUGCAAGACAGAUGUGAAAUCCCCGGGCUUAACCUGGGAACUGCAUUUGUGACUGCACAGCUGGAGUGCGGCAGAGGGGGAUGGAAUUCCGCGUGUAGCAGUGAAAUGCGUAGAUAUGCGGAGGAACACCGAUGGCGAAGGCAAUCCCCUGGGCCUGCACUGACGCUCAUGCACGAAAGCGUGGGGAGCAAACAGG